UACGUAGGGGGCAAGCGUUGUCCGGAAUCAUUGGGCGUAAAGCGCGUGUAGGCGGCUCGAUAAGUCCGCUGUGAAAGCCCGGGGCUCAACCCCGGGAUGCCGGUGGAUACUGUCGGGCUAGAGUCCGGAAGAGGCGAGUGGGAAUUCCUGGUGUAGCGGUGACAUGCGCAGAUAUCAGGAGGAACACCGGUGGCGAAGGCGGUUCUCUGGGCAUUACCUGACGCUGAGGAGCGAAAGUGUGGGGAGCGAACAGG
rnacentral:rRNA from 1 species